CCGGGCUUGGUUCUGCAUCGACCAAAACGAAUUUCUUCCAUUCCAUUAAACAUUUUCAUUGUCUGAAGUGCUUGUCGUUCUCGGACCAACUUUACAUUUUCAAUAUAUAUAUGUAUAUAGUUCCAUCAAACAUGCUCUUGAGGUGAAAGAUGCUACUUUAAGAUUAAAUCUUGUCGGAUCAAAUUGGUGACAUGAAACGUUAAUCUUCUUUUGGGGAUAAGCGAUGAUGGUGCAAUUA